UCGGCCGAGCAGACCCGUGGCCUCACUCCCCCGCGCGUUAGGGUUCCGCUCUCAUCCUUCGUGCCUGCUCACCGCCGCCACUUCCAGCUAGGCCGUCGUCGCCGCGCCCCACCAGGUUCUCGCGUUUUCCCCCUCUCCAAGCUUCCAUCCUUCCCUCUUACCUUACUGGCGGGUGUUGUUUCUGUACCCGGUGGUUCAUCUCGCCGCGGCCGAUUAGCUGUUAUUCACGGAAUCGUCUUCUGGUACUAUUCGUUCCCCCUUCUGACUUGCUUCGUAACUACACUACCUGUCAUCCAGUAGCCCUGUUCGUCGUCGACACUCCAGUUCGAUUAAGCCAGGAAGCCUAUGGAGAUCAUCAUCUCCCAACCAUUGAUGUUAAGGCUGCACAUUUAGUAAAGCAGCUAGCAAGUGAUGAAAGUGUAGAGUGAUCUGUGGACAUUAUCAUUAGGGUUCCUUUAAUAUUACCAUAUCGAAAGGGCGUCAAGUGCGAUCUCCGCAUUCUUCAUGUAUCCUGUGAGGAGCACCAGUAUGGUGUUGUACCACAAUUCCAAGCUGAAAGAAAAAAAGACUACGAUGCGGAUGGAUACCAUCCACACCCACAGACCACAGUGGCUUGCUUUGCUUACCAGAGCAUGACACCAGAAGAGAGCGAGAGCCUGACGAUGGCGCCGAGGUCGGCGAAGGCGGCGGACGAGAAUCCGGUCCAGGUGAGAGGGCAUCCGCCGAAGAAGACGAAGGCGAGCUGGCCGAACACGGGGAUCCACAUGGCGACGACCAUGGAGCCCAUGACGCCGGCGAGGCCGAGGCGGAGGUGGACGGCGGCGAGCCAGGACAGGGCGAGGUGGAGGCCGAGGUUGAGCAUGGCGAGGUACGUGAUGAUCAUGUUCUUGAUCUGCGCCUGCAGGUACAUCUGCAGCGGGAAGGCCCAGACGAAGGAGAAGAGCACGGGGAUGUACCAGAGCGCCACGGUCCCCGCCACCGCCGAGAUGUCCGGGUCCUGCCCCAGCGCCACCAGCAGCGGCUCCGUGAACAGGUACACGGGGAGCUGCACCACGGCGCACGCCGACAGGAUGAUCCACGACCGCUGCAGGUAGAUGCCCAGCAUGUGGUACUGCUUCGCCCCGUACGACUGCCCGCACAGCGUCUCCAGCGCGCUCGCCAUGCCCAGCUGCAUGCAGAUGCAUAUCGCGCCCGGCCGGACGCCGACGACGCGGACUUGUUGGAACAGAGCCGUCGUCGACCAGUCGACGCCUGGGUGCCUGGCCAUUUUCUUCGCCGAAGAAGGGAAAAAGAAGCCGCCGCCAAGACCAAGAGGGAAGAAGAGGAAGCAGCAGCCAAGAGAGCAAUUGGAACAUGACUGUUGGGAUCGGCACGAGAUGUCGUCGAGGCGGCGGCAAGCUUUAUUGAUUCCAAUGUUUUUUUUUUCUAUCUAGCUUGUCCGGCACGAGUUGGUGGCUGACUUUAUUCGGGCUCUGAACCGAGAGCACGGAUCGAUCUUUUGAAUCGAAUGCUGCUGGCGGGGGCGGGCCGCCUGGAGCUCGACGAACGAAGGGCAAGACGACAUCGACUACAAAAUGGUCCCCGAUCGUGUUGUGCAGCGUGUUGCUCGUGAUCACUAUACUUGCAUGCAUCUUUGAAUUUGAAUCAUGCAUGCGUGCAUGUCCGUAUAUAGAUCCACAACAUGGGCUGUACUUUUUUUGAAAAAAAUUGUUUCGUCUUUCUCUUUUUUGCGAACGAUAAUUGUCGGCACGUUUUUUUUUCGUUCGGAGGCCGGUGUUAGAGAGUA